GUUUGUGGAUGAUGAGAACAUACAUUUUUACAGUUAUCCCUGUCUGAUUCAUUGGUGCUGAUAUCUGUGAUCUGACACAACA
rfam:Vitis vinifera, whole genome shotgun sequence of line PN40024, unoriented chromosome 18, chr18